rnacentral:piRNA from 1 species
CAACACAUGCAUCAACCUCGAAUA